ACCCGAGACUCAGUGAAAUUGAACUCGCUGUGAAGAUGCAGUGUACCCGCGGCAAGACGGAAAGACCCCGUGAACCUUUACUAUAGCUUGACACUGAACAUUGAGCCUUGAUGUGUAGGAUAGGUGGGAGGCUUUGAAGUGUGGACGCCAGUCUGCAUGGAGCCGGCCUUGAAAUACCACCCUUUAAUGUUUGAUGUUCUAACGUGGACCCGUGAUCCGGGUUGCGGACAGUGUCUGGUGGGUAGUUUGACUGGGGCGGUCUCCUCCUAAAGAGUAACGGAGGAGCACGAAGGUUGGCUAAUCCUGGUCGGACAUCAGGAGGUUAGUGCAAUGGCAUAAGCCAGCUUGACUGCGAGCGUGACGGCGCGAGCAGGUGCGAAAGCAGGUCAUAGUGAUCCGGUGGUUCUGAAUGGAAGGGCCAUCGCUCAACGGAUAAAAGGUACUCCGGGGAUAACAGGCUGAUACCGCCCAAGAGUUCAUAUCGACGGCGGUGUUUGGCACCUCGAUGUCGGCUCAUCACAUCCUGGGGCUGAAGUAGGUCCCAAGGGUAUGGCUGUUCGCCAUUUAAAGUGGUACGCGAGCUGGGUUUAGAACGUCGUGAGACAGUUCGGUCCCUAUCUGCCGUGGGCGCUGGAGAACUGAGGGGGGCUGCUCCUAGUACGAGAGGACCGGAGUGGACGCAUCACUGGUGUUCGGGUUGUCAUGCCAAUGGCACUGCCCGGUAGCUAAAUGCGGAAGAGAUAAGUGCUGAAAGCAUCUAAGCACGAAACUUGCCCCGAGAUGAGUUCUCCCUGACCCUUUAAGGGUCCUGAAGGAACGUUGA
rnacentral:rRNA from 1 species